rnacentral:rRNA from 1 species
CAGCAGCCGCGGUAAAACGUAGGUGGCAAGCGUUGUCCGGAAUUAUUGGGCGUAAAGGGCUCGCAGGCGGUUUCUUAAGUCUGAUGUGAAAGCCCCCGGCUCAACCGGGGAGGGUCAUUGGAAACUGGGAAACUUGAGUGCAGAAGAGGAGAGUGGAACUCCACGUGUAGCGGUGAAAUGCGUAGAGAUGUGGAGGAACACCAGUGGCGAAGGCGACUCUCUGGUCUGUAACUGACGCUGAGGAGCGAAAGCGUGGGGAGCGAACAGGAUUAGAUACCCGAGUAGUCCCUGUCUCUUAUAA